rnacentral:rRNA from 1 species
AUGGCCUACGGGGCGCAGCAGUGGGGGAUAUUGCACAAUGGGGGAAACCCUGAUGCAGCGACGCCGCAUGAGUGAAGAAGUAUUUCGGUACGUAAAGCUCUCUCAGCAGGGAAGAAUAAUGACGGUACCUGACUAAGAAGCCCCGGCUAACUACGUGCCAGCAGCCGCGGUAAUACGGAGGGGGCAAGCGUUAUCCAGAUUUACUGGGUGUAAAGGGAGCGUAGACGGCUGUGCAAGUCUGAAGUGAAAUGCCGGGGCUCAACCCCGGAACUGCUUUGGAAACUGUACAGCUAGAGUG